GGCUAGUUGGUGUCCAAGAAGGGCUCAGGACUCCAGGAAGAUCUGAUGACCCUGUGCAAGCCGGCUCACUUGGCCCAGCCACAGGCUCCACACCUAUAAAGUGGGCAGUCACGAGCGCAGCCUCGGGGGAUAGCACACAGCAGAGGGGACGCCACAUCGAGGAAGGCUGGGGCCAACUCGCAAUGAUCCGCCAAAGAGCAUCGGUCUUGGCUUCAGGCAUGAAGCAGAGCAGGAGUGGGGAGCAGGUAAGGCAUGGUGAUAGAAAGUCGCGGCUGGAGGAGGAAGAUGGGUGCCCUCCCAUCUCUCUGUCUCUCCCCCAGCCAGGUGGGGAAGCCCAGAGCUCAUGAAGGAGCAAACUGAAAGGUUCAUAGAGGCCUUCUUAGGCUUUGCAAUCAGUAUCUCCAAGUUAGAAAGAGGACAGUCUGUGCACAAUAAGAACAAUGUCGUGUGAGUACACGGGAUGGGGGCUCAUGGGGUCGGAAUCUCAAAUGUGCAUCCAACAGAGCUGUGGAUGAGAAAGCAAAUCUUGCAAGGAGUGACGUGUCAGAUUUUUAGGUCCUAGAGACAAAGAAUGGAUGCGGGAACAGCACACUGCAACCCAGAGCAGAGGGUCACCUAAUAUUCGUGCCCCCCCGCCCAACCGCAUACUGUCCAUACCUAAAGCUCUCUCUCUUUCCUGCUAAACCACUGAAGAGUUAGAUGGGGAGAUAACUGCCUUUCUCCACGGCUAAUUUUAGAGGUGAGAAAAAUACGCAGUUCAUUAGAAGAGGCUUGUGGGUUGUGGCCUCUGGGGGCCUGGGGGGCAGGGGAGGGGAUGGAGGAGGGAGUUGUCACUCCGGGACCAGGAGAAAAUGGAAAGUAAGGCCUUUGGAGGGAGAACAUGUUGACCUUCCACACGGUACCUGUGGAACGAGAAGGUGGAAGGGAGAAAGUGCUCAUUUGGAUUUGGUUUGGACAGACAGUGUUGCCUCGGGGAGGGAUAAAAAGGUAGUGGCGUGUGGCCCAGAGCAGGUGGCGCCUUGGGGUCCCGCGGGCGAUGGAGAGAUUGCCCUUCUGUGGGGUCGCUCCAGCCUCACCUCCACCAGGUUGUUAUGGCUCCAUGUGUCACUUGAGGCUGAGGGCAAUUCUACUGGAACUUGCCUUAGGGGUUGUGCGGGUUUGUCUACAGCGGGAACGAGAGCGGCAGCUGUCACCUUCACGGGGAGGGGACGGUUUCCCCUUCUGCUCCCAGAGACUGGCACUGGAAGCACCAUCUGGGUGAAAUCUUUCUGGACGGCAAAGGCUCCACCCACAUGGGAGGGUCCAGCCAGGAGAGCCAGGAAGGGGUCCGGACGGUCCUGCUGAGCAGGGCAGCUCCACGCACCUGGCAGCCAUACACUGACACACAGAAUUUGGGGACCCUGCCUUGGAAUGGGUGUGCCAGCAGGGACGGGCCGGCCACACAGCCUCCCCUGAUGUGCAGGGCCAUCCUCGCCACUGCUGGAGGGGGCUGGAGGAGGUGGUGGAGAGUGGGGAGGGGCUCCGGCAAGCCCAGGGCAGCCCUUCUCCAGGCUGCACCCCCAACUCUGACUUGACCGCCACCCCCGUCUGGACACCGGCCCCACCUCCCCCAUCCUGGGAUGUGCAGGAGGAAAGCAUGAAGCAGCUGCUGUGCGUGUGGCAGUGAGGAGCGAUAUUUUCCACUUCCUCAGAGAUGACAAUUUCAUUCUUCUCAUAUAUAUAAAUAUAUAUAUAUGCAUGUAUUUUUUUUUCAUCCUCUCUGUCUCUCUCUUCUGUUUUGGCUGAGGUGCCUCAGAAGUGUGAAGGUGGGUGGGAGGAAGUGCUUAUUUGGACUUCCUGUCAAGCCUCUCUUCCUCGUCUGCCCUAUUUUUCAUUUGGGCAGCCUUUCCCCAGACAGGGCCGCCUGGAAGGGAAACUCCCUGGGUGCCUGCGUGGGUGGGCGGGCCGUGGGCAGGGGCAGGGAGGGGGAGGCAGUCUUCUCAGCUUGAUAGAGGAGGGAAAAGCCUUGCCCCAUCCGUCCUCCUCAAGCGAGCUGGAGAAGGGCAGUGGGGGAGGGGACGGGCUGGGUGCAGGAGGAGCAGAAGCAAUGGUACCCCUAGCCCAGCAAAGGCCACCGACCUCGGCCCACAGGCUGCACGCUCCAAGGGCGAGCUGUGGGCCCAGGAAGUGCACCCGUGCCACUAAGGGGGAGAGACUUGCGACCAGCAAGCCCAGCAGCCCAGCGUGGAUCCCGUCCGUGACAGCUCUCAGCACAUUUAAUCCUCACAGAAGCCCUAGGAGUAGGUAGAUGGCAGUGCUCCCAUUCUAUAGACGCUGAGACCAGAAUUCCCUUGCCCGAGUUCCUACAGCUCGUCAGCAUGGAGCAGGAAUAUGCCGACGCAGGGCCAGGUGGAUUUCCGUCUGCUCUGCCUUUAUGACUUGUCCCUUUGGUCUCGGCAAAUCACUUUGCCCUUGACUUUCAGUCUGGACGUUCCUGCCUCACCUGUGGCCUUGGCGUGUGCGGCCUCCACACAACUUCUGAUGUUGGCUGCAUUAUCUGCCUUGAUGAUAUCAGUGCCCUGACCUCCAGUUUAUAUCCCAGAUUUUUCACCCAGACAGAGUGCAUCAUCCAAUACACUGUCCUGGGAGAGGCGCCUUGUUUGGGCUCCUUCCUGUGCUGUCAGAGCUUCCUCCCCAGGGGCAUGUUCCUGGAACAGACAAUGGGCGCCUUACAAAGAGUGGGUUAGGGGCCUGAGGAAAAGAAGAUGCAUCUAGAACACAUAAUUUAUCUAUCUUAACCCUUCUGUGAGACCUCGAGGGUUUGGAGAAAAGAAAUGUUCGAAUCUUACGUGUGUAAUAUCAUGGGAUCCUUAUGACUGCUUUUUGUGACAAGGAAAUAGAGGCAAAUAUACCCAUUUUACAGAUUGCAGAGAAAAAACAAAUGCCUGUCCAAGGCCUCGCAGAUAAUCAGGGGUAGAAUGUGGGAUUUGAAACCAAACCUGGCGGACGCUCAGACUCUUUCCACUGAGAAAUAUUGUUUCCAAGGACGGAAAUUUCAGUAGGGAGGCACCUGCUUCGGGCGAUGGGCCCAGCUGGGUCAGGCUGAGCAAGGCUGCCAGGUGGGAGUGGCCAAGGAGAAAAGGAAACUAAGGGGGGAAUAUGGCAACAUGAACGUCCCUCGUUCACUCCAGCCUGGGGCCCUGAAGAAGCCUGCCUCUCUCUGUUGUGGAAACCCUUGGCUUCUCCAAAUCUGGUUCUCAAAGCUGUCCUUUUCUGUAUGCAAAUGUGCAAAAGUACCCUGCUAAUAAAUUACCCUGUUGCUCAGGUAGCACGAAGUUGGAUUCUGCUGCUCACAACAUGCCUAAGUCCAUUUAGGUCUGUAUAACGAAACACCGCAGGCUGGGUGGCUUACAAACAAUAGAAGUUUGCUUUUCACGGUUCUGGAGGCUGGAAGUCGAAGAUCAAGAUACCAGCAUGACUGGGUUCUGGUGAGAGCCCUCUUCCCAGCGCACAGCCAGCACCUUCUCACAAUGUCCUCACGUGGUAGAAAGGACGAGGGAGCUCCCUGGGGUCUGUUUCAUCAGGGCACUAAUCCCACUCACAGGGGCUCCAUCCCACGACCUAAGCCCUUCCUAAAGGCCCCGCCUCCUAAUACUGUCACACACACACACAGGGUUUCAACAUAUCAGCUUUAGGGGGACACACAUUCAGCCCAUAGCACAACAAAAAAUCCACAGGUCUUCCAGGAUACAUGUUCCAUUCUUCUUUAAUUUACCACAAAAAAAAAAAAUGUCAAAAGGAAGGCAAGAGGUGGCCUGGAGUAAGGAAGAGACUGAGGGGUUGAGAGACUGGGAGAAUCCAGGCUUGGAUUCUAACCUUAGUCAUGCCAUCAACUGGUGUCUGAGCAUCGAGUCCUUUCCGAAGUUUCCUCAUCUUUAAAAGAGGCUAGUAAUACUCAUCACUCCUCUGGGCGAUUCUGUGGCAAAGGAAGUUGCUUGUGUCUUGUGCCCGAACUGUCUGGCCUAUAGUAGAGAUGUCACAGGGUUAGUUCCUUUUCUCAGAAAAUGUCUAGAGCUUCUUCUCAGCUCUGACGUUCUCUGAUGCUCUCAGUCACUAAUUUUCUGUUCAUUUCCUUUCGGAGAAAGAAACAGAAAAGACACAAAAUUCAGGCACACCUCAGAGUCAUUGCAGGUUCAGUUUCAGACUGCCACAAUAAAGUGAAUACUGCCAUGAAGUGAGUCACAUGAAGUUUUUUGGUUUCCCAGUGCAUAUAAAGGUUAUGUUUUCACUAUACUGGAGUCUGUUAAGUGUGCGAUAGCAUUAUGUCUUUAAAGAACAAUGUAUAUACCUUAAUUUAAAAAUACUUUAUUGCUAAAAAA